rnacentral:rRNA from 1 species
AUGCAAGUCGAGCGGUAGCACAGAGAGCUUGCUCUCGGGUGACGAGCGGCGGACGGGUGAGUAAUGUCUGGGAAACUGCCUGAUGGAGGGGGAUAACUACUGGAAACGGUAGCUAAUACCGCAUAACGUCGCAAGACCAAAGUGGGGGACCUUCGGGCCUCAUGCCAUCAGAUGUGCCCAGAUGGGAUUAGCUAGUAGGUGGGGUAACGGCUCACCUAGGCGACGAUCCCUAGCUGGUCUGAGAGGAUGACCAGCCACACUGGAACUGAGACACGGUCCAGACUCCUACGGGAGGCAGCAGUGGGGAAUAUUGCACAAUGGGCGCAAGCCUGAUGCAGCCAUGCCGCGUGUGUGAAGAAGGCCUUCGGGUUGUAAAGCACUUUCAGCGGGGAGGAAGGCGGUGAGGUUAAUAACCUCACCGAUUGACGUUACCCGCAGAAGAAGCACCGGCUAACUCCGUGCCAGCAGCCGCGGUAAUACGGAGGGUGCAAGCGUUAAUCGGAAUUACUGGGCGUAAAGCGCACGCAGGCGGUCUGUCAAGUCGGAUGUGAAAUCCCCGGGCUCAACCUGGGAACUGCAUUCGAAACUGGCAGGCUAGAGUCUUGUAGAGGGGGGUAGAAUUCCAGGUGUAGCGGUGAAAUGCGUAGAGAUCUGGAGGAAUACCGGUGGCGAAGGCGGCCCCCUGGACAAAGACUGACGCUCAGGUGCGAAAGCGUGGGGAGCAAACAGGAUUAGAUACCCUGGUAGUCCACGCUGUAAACGAUGUCGAUUUGGAGGUUGUGCCCUUGAGGCGUGGCUUCCGGAGCUAACGCGUUAAAUCGACCGCCUGGGGAGUACGGCCGCAAGGUUAAAACUCAAAUGAAUUGACGGGGGCCCGCACAAGCGGUGGAGCAUGUGGUUUAAUUCGAUGCAACGCGAAGAACCUUACCUGGUCUUGACAUCCACAGAACUUUCCAGAGAUGGAUUGGUGCCUUCGGGAACUGUGAGACAGGUGCUGCAUGGCUGUCGUCAGCUCGUGUUGUGAAAUGUUGGGUUAAGUCCCGCAACGAGCGCAACCCUUAUCCUUUGUUGCCAGCGGUUAGGCCGGGAACUCAAAGGAGACUGCCAGUGAUAAACUGGAGGAAGGUGGGGAUGACGUCAAGUCAUCAUGGCCCUUACGACCAGGGCUACACACGUGCUACAAUGGCAUAUACAAAGAGAAGCGACCUCGCGAGAGCAAGCGGACCUCAUAAAGUAUGUCGUAGUCCGGAUUGGAGUCUGCAACUCGACUCCAUGAAGUCGGAAUCGCUAGUAAUCGUAGAUCAGAAUGCUACGGUGAAUACGUUCCCGGGCCUUGUACACACCGCCCGUCACACCAUGGGAGUGGGUUGCAAAAGAAGUAGGUAGCUUAACCUUCGGGAGGGCGCUACCACU